rnacentral:rRNA from 1 species
UACGUAGGGUGCAAGCGUUAUCCGGAAUUAUUGGGCGUAAAGAGCUCGUAGGCGGUUUGUCGCGUCUGCUGUGAAAACCCGAGGCUCAACCUCGGGCCUGCAGUGGGUACGGGGCAGACUAGAGUGCGGUAGGGGAGAUUGGAAUUCCUGGUGUAGCGGUGAAAUGCGCAGAUAUCAGGAGGAACACCGGUGGCGAAGGCGGUUCUCUGGGCCUUAACCUGGACGCUGAGGAGCGAAAGCAUGGGGGAGCAAACAGG